rnacentral:rRNA from 1 species
AUUGAACGCUGGCGGCAGGCCUAACACAUGCAAGUCGAGCGGAGCGGCGGACGGGUGAGUAAUACCUAGGAAUGGGCAUGGUAGUGGGGGAUAACGUCCGGAAACGGGCGCUAAUACCGCAUACUAUCAGAUGAGGCUAGGUCGGAUUAGCUAGUUGGUGGGGUAAGGGCCUACCAAGGCGACGAUCCUUAACUGGUCUGAGAGGAUGAUCAGUCACACUGGAACUGAGACACGGUCCAGACUCCUACGGGAGGCAGCAGUGGGGAAUAUGGGAAAAUGGGCGAAAGCCUGAUGCAGCCAUGCCGCGUGUGUGAAGAAGGUCUUCGGAUUGUAAAGUACUUUAAGUUGGGAGGCGUGACCAGCAGAAUAAGCACCGGCUAACUUCGUGCCAGCAGCCGCGGUAAUUC